rnacentral:rRNA from 1 species
GAUGAACGCUGGCGGCGUGCCUAAUACAUGCAAGUCGAGCGAACGGACGAGAAGCUUGCUUCUCUGAUGUUAGCGGCGGACGGGUGAGUAACACGUGGAUAACCUACCUAUAAGACUGGGAAAACUUCGGGAAACCGGAGCUAAUACCGGAAAAUAUUUUGAACCGCAUGGUUCAAAAGUGAAAGACGGCUUUGCUGCUACUUAUAGAUGGAUCCGCGCUGCAUUAGCUAGUUGGUAAGGUAACGGCUUACCAAGGCAACGAUGCAUAGCCGACCUGAGAGGGUGAUCGGCCACACUGGAACUGAGACACGGUCCAGACUCCUACGGGAGGCAGCAGUAGGGAAUCUUCCGCAAUGGGCGAAAGCCUGACGGAGCAACGCCGCGUGAGUGAUGAAGGUCUUCGGAUCGUAAAACUCUGUUAUUAGGGAAGAACAUAUGUGUAAGUAACUGUGCACAUCUUGACGGUACCUAAUCAGAAAGCCACGGCUAACUACGUG